UACGUAGGGGGCAAGCGUUGUCCGGAAUCAUUGGGCGUAAAGAGCGUGUAGGCGGCCCGAUAAGUCCGCUGUGAAAGUCCAGGGCUCAACCCUGGAAUGCCGGUGGAUACUGUCGGGCUCGAAUCCGGAAGAGGCAAGUGGAAUUCCUGGUGUAGCGGUGGAAUGCGCAGAUAUCAGGAGGAACACCAACGGCGAAGGCAGCUUGCUGGGACGGUACUGACGCUAAGGCGCGAAAGCGUGGGGAGCGAACAGG
rnacentral:rRNA from 1 species